rnacentral:rRNA from 1 species
CUGUCGGUGUUAACUGGCAUGUUCUGUGGAACGUCCUGCCGGUGGCGGUCCGGGCUCUCGUUCUGCGUAAGGGUUUCCCGAAGCAGGGCGAAAAGUUCCGGCCGCCGGUUCAAUCCCGCCACGGUGCUCUUCACCGAGUGUCGAGGUGGGCCGGCACUUUUACUUUGAACAAAUUAGAGUGCUUAAAGCAGGCGGUUUCCGCCUGAAUACUGUGUGCAUGGAAUAAUGGAAUAGGACCUCGGUUCUAUUUUGUUGGUUUUCAGAACCCGAGGUAAUGAUUAAUAGGGACAGGCGGGGGCAUUCGUAUUGCGACGUUAGAGGUGAAAUUCUUGGAUCGUCGCAAGACGAACCUAAGCGAAAGCAUUUGCCAAGUAUGUUCUCGUUAAUCAAGAACGAAAGUUAGAGGUUCGAAGGCGAUCAGAUACCGCCCUAGUUCUAACCAUAAACGAUGCCAGCCAGCGAUCCGCCGAAGUUCCUCCGAUGACUCGGCGGGCAGCUUCCGGGAAACCAAAGCUUUUGGGUUCCGGGGGAAGUAUGGUUGCAAAGCUGAAACUUAAAGGAAUUGACGGAAGGGCACCACCAGGAGUGGAGCCUGCGGCUUAAUUUGACUCAACACGGGAAACCUCACCAGGCCCGGACACCGGAAGGAUUGACAGAUUGAGAGCUCUUUCUUGAUUCGGUGGGUGGUGGUGCAUGGCCGUUCUUAGUUGGUGGAGCGAUUUGUCUGGUUAAUUCCGAUAACGAACGAGACUCUAGCCUGUUAACUAGGCGAUUUCCGGUACCCAUAAUAGUGUUACCGGCGAUUCAAUUUCUUCUUAGAGGGACAGGCGGCUUCUAGCCGCACGAGACUGAGCAAUAACAGGUCUGUAAUGCCCUUAGAUGUUCUGGGCCGCACGCGCGCUACACUGAAGGAAUCAGCGUGUCUUCCCUGGCCGACAGGCCCGGGUAACCCGUUGAACCUCCUUCGUGCUAGGGAUUGGGGCUUGCAAUUGUUCCCCAUGAACGAGGAAUUCCCAGUAAGCGCGAGUCAUAAGCUCGCGUUGAUUACGUCCCUGCCCUUUGUACACACCGCCCGUCGCUACUACCGAUUGAAUGAUUUAGUGAGGUCUUCGGACUGGUGCGCGGCUGUCGGGUCUCCGGCAGCCGAUGUUGCCGGAA